AGCAGCCGCGGUAAUUCCAGCUCCAAUAGCGUAUAUUAAAGUUGUUGCAGUUAAAAAGCUCGUAGUUGAAUUUCGGGGUUAGUAGGUUGGUCAUGCCUCUGGUAUGUACUGGUCUCACUGAUUCCUCCUUCCUGAUGAACCUUAAUGCCAUUAAUUUGGUGUUUUGGGGAAUUUGGACUGUUACUUUGAAAAAUUAGAGUGUUUAAAGCAAGCUAACGCUUGAAUACAUUAGCAUGGAAUAAUGAAAUAGGACGUUCGAUCCUAUUUUGUUGGUUUCUAGGAUUGACGUAAUGAUUAAUAGGGAUAGUUGGGGGCAUUAGUAUUCAAUUGUCAGAGGUGAAAUUCUUGGAUUUAUUGAAGACUAACUACUGCGAAAGCAUUUGCCAAGGAUGUUUUCAUUAAUCAAGAACGAAAGUUAGGGGAUCGAAGACGAUCAGAUACCGUCGUAGUCUUAACCAUAAACUAUGCCGACUAGGGAU
rnacentral:rRNA from 1 species